UAUUCUGUGGUCGUCUAUUUAUCUCCCUUACUUAUCAAACUAAUUUUACACAAACCUUUAUUUUACACCUUAAAAUAAAUCACAACAACCCAAACAAUCAAAACACCAAAAACUAGAAUUCCAAAAAAGACGAAUCAUUAAUGAUUACCUCUCUUUUUUGUCUAAUCUUAGAACUAAACUUCAAAACAAAUAUACCAAUCCAAUCACUUCAACUAAAACUCAAAGACACGUACAUUGAGGCAGCUAAACAAAUACAAACUACACGGCCAGCUAUUUAACAAUUUACAAACUUACUUUCGCAACGAAGAAGACGAAGACGACAACCAAAAUCAGUAAAAUUACCUAAACAAAGUAAAUUACGAACUCUGAUAAAUACUGCUAACAAUGAUUUUUGUUUACAUAUUACCCGUCAAAUAAAAGAUAAACAAACACAUCUACACGAGGAGAUACAAGAGACAAUCCUGACAGACACAAAGGCAGCAACAACAUCUCCACCUGCUCCCAGAGUCUUAUAAAAAUAGCUUACAUGCCCAAUAUCAACAAGCCAAUGUUAUUGUCUUCUUAUGAGAAAUGCAUAAAUUUGUUUAAAACCCAUUAAAGUCCAAAUACUCAGAACUGUCACUCAUUUUAUAGUUAUUUCUACAAGUCUUCAUGUAUUUGUUUUAAAGGUCCGGUAAGAGCAACAAGUUUAAAAAUAAAAUAAAAACAUAUAACAAACAUAAUAAGGAUAAUAAAGAUAAUAAAAAUUAUUACUUACACACAACUUACACAACUAAACUGGAGAAAAAAUAUCUAGAAACAAAAAAUACUCUCAACAACUUUAAUAUAAUUUAUGUACUUUCAACAGUACAAGAAACAAAUUAAAAAGACAAACAAACAAUAAGUCCCAAUGACAUAGCAAACAACACCACGAACUAUAUCAAUUACACUAUUAACACAAUUUAGUCCUUCAUAAAUAGAGAAUAAUGCAUACACAGUUCAUCAUCACAACUCUAACCCUAUAACAAUUAAAAAACUUGAAAAACAACUCCAAACGCAAAAUUCACAACUACAAU
rnacentral:lncRNA from 1 species